CAAAAGAGGGGAUAAUGAGGGAAGGUGAAGAAGGAGCUGGACCCUGACGACAGCCAUUUGAACUUGGAUGAGACGACGAAGCUCCUGCAGGACCUGCACGAAGCACAGGCGGAGCGCGGCGGCUCUCGGCCGUCGUCCAACCUCAGCUCCCUGUCCAACGCCUCCGAGAGGGACCAGCACCACCUGGGAAGCCCUUCUCGCCUGAGUGUCGGGGAGCAGCCAGACGUCACCCACGACCCCUAUGAGUUUCUUCAGUCUCCAGAGCCUGCGGCCUCUGCCAAGACCUAACUCUAGACCACCUUCAGCUCUUUUAUUUUAUUUUUUUAGUUUUAUUUUUCACGUGUAGAGUUUUUGUCAUCAGACAAGGACUUUGAUCCUGUCCCCUUUGGCAUGCGGGAAGCAGCCCCGGGGAGGUAAUGAAUUGUCUGUGGUAUCAUGUCAGCAGAGUCUCCAAGCCCCACGAACCCUGAGGAGUGGAGUCAUACGCGAAGGCCAUAUGGCCAUCGUGUCAGCAGAGAGAGUCUCUGUACACAGCCCCGUGAACCCUGAGGAGUGGAGUCAUACACGAAGGGCGUGUGGCCGUCGUGUCAGCAGAGAGAGUCUCUGUACACAGCCCCGUGAACCCUGAGGAGUGGAGUCAUACGCGAAGGGUGUGUGGCCAGGCUGCAGAGCUGCGUGCCGUCUGUGUCCGAGCAUCACGUGUGGCUCCAGCCCUUGUUUCUGCCAGUGUAGACACCUCUGUCUGCCCCACUGUCCCGGGGUCGCUCUUGGGAGGCACAGGCAUGGGUGUGUCUGGCCUCAUUCUGUAUCAGUCCUGCGUGUUCCUGUCAUAGUUUGUGUUUCCCAGGCAGGCCAUGGUAGGGGCCUCGCAGGGGCCAUUGGGGAGCACAGGGCCAGGCUGGGGUGAGGAGAGCUCCCCUGUUUUCUGUUUAAUUGAUGAGCCUGGGAAAGGAGUGUGUUCUGCCUGCCCGUUACAGUGGAGCGUUCCGUGUCCAUAAAACGUUUUCUAACUGGGUGUUUACUGAGUGCCCAUUUAUGUUAGUAUUUGCAAAAUACCAUAAACACAGCUUCCAAUCACAAGACACAGAGCGCCAAAGUGCACCCGACUGCUCCCAGCACGCGAGGGUUGCUGUGUCCUACCAGCUGGUGGUGGUCCUCUGGCCCAGCUGUCGUGCCCACAGUGACGUCGGGUGCACCUGUGCGCCCACCAGCACCUCCUGCAGGGUGCCCUGCUCUGUGACCAUGGAAACUUGAAAGUGAAGAAGCCACACCUUCCAGAGGCCAGGCAUGGAUGGGAUCUCAGUCGUCCUGGGGGCAGCGGCAUUUGUGACUCUGAAGAGGCCCCGGGGGCAGUAUGCAGUGCCUGG
rnacentral:lncRNA from 1 species